CAAUCCAAGGAAGGCCUUGUUCCAUUAGUGCUGAUAAACCCAUGUUCACUGAUUCUACUAAUUAGUUCAGUCUUUGGAUUUCUGUGGAAAUACUGAGCAAAGUCAACCAAUCAGCACUUUGUUGCCCACCUCUGCACUUCUCAAGGACGAUCAAAUUGUGCAUUCCACCCGUCUCCAUCUGUAUUGCAUUCAACCAGUGUGGACUAUUGUACCCUUCCAAAGGAUAUCACAGAUCGGGUUACUGCACAAGCAAUGCCACUCCCUUCAUCGGAGAUCUACUUGCUGCCCUGCAAGGCCUCAUUCUGUGCUGACCUUAAGAUAACGCCUUGGAGAGAUACUUCAGUCCACAAUGCAUGAAGGGGCGCACCCGCCGGUGAAAAGCCAGGCCACCUUUUUUCCUGUCCUGGCAUCUGAAGGACACCCAAGGGAGCGAGACGUCAGCGUCACUGCAGCAGCCUGCCGCCAUCACCAUCAUCAACGCUAACAUCAUCAUCACCUGUGAAAGUGACUGCAGCCCAAUGAGCCAGAACACUGAGUCGUCCCAGGGGUCAGUGUUGUCAUGGAGAUCAGGAUCAUAGACUGGAGGUCUCACGUCGGAAGACUGACCACUGAUACAGCUAAUUACAAACAAGGUCUUGCAUAGAGAUGGCACCGGAAACUGACAUCAAACAAUGGCAGACCAGGUAGGUCAAUAAAAAUGCUGAAGUUUGAUAAUGUGAAGUGUAUAUGAUGUGGUCUACAAGCUGAACUUAAGCCUAGAUUUACUUUAUGCAUCUGUGUAACUAGGCAGGUGAGGGAGGGUGUUUGUGAAUCGAGGCAGGGUAUAUGAACAACUCGUUCAUAGGACGACACAGCAAGAGCAAGAAAGUUAACACCUGUCUAGUCAGUUUGCUAGUGAAUGGGAAUUUGUACAAAAAGGUCUGCAAGGUUUUUGGAAAAAGGCAUCUACAAGAGGAUCUUUUCUCCAUAAACAGAAUUAAGGGUGUACUUGAGCUUAGACGUAAAUAGACAUUCUUCACAUAAAAGAUGCUUUUUUCAGCUGUUAGGAAGUUAGGGCUGAAUAUUUUUAGAAAAUGUAUGAUGCUAUCACAAAAGAAACCUAGGUCUGAGUCAAUCUGGGACCUGGUUUUAUGUCAUUUCCUUUCUCUCUAUCCACAUAUUUA